rnacentral:rRNA from 1 species
CGAUCUUCUGUUCUCAGGGUCAGACGCUGGCGGGAUGCUUUACGCAUAUGCGAGUCGAACGGCAGCACGGACUUCAGUCUGGUGAGCGAGUGGCGAACGGGUGAGUAAUGUGGAACGUGCCUAGUAGCGGGGGAUGAACUGCGCGAAAGCGUAGCUAUCUACCAUGUUCCUUCGGGGAAAGCAGGGGACCUUCGGGCCUCGCACUAUUAGAGCGGCCGAUAUCGGAUUAGCUAGUUGGUGGGAGUAACGACUCCGCAAGGCGACGAUCCGUAGCGCUGGUUGAAGGACAACGUGGGACUGGGAUGCGGCCCAGACUCCUGCAGGAGGCAGCGAUGGAGGAAUUUUGGACAAUGAGAAGGAAGAUUCCCUGAUCCCAGCCAUCCCAUUGUGCGAUGAAGGCCUUCGGGUUGUAAAGCACUUUGGCAGGAAAGAAACGGCACGGGAUAAUACCCCGUGCAACUGACGGUACCUGCAGAAUAAGCGCGGCUAACUACGGUUCAGCAGCCGCGGCAGCCGUAGGGUGCAAGCGUUAAUCGGAAUUACUGGGCGUAAAGCGUGCGCAGGCGGUUCGGAAAAGAAAAGAUGUCUGAAUCAGAGCUUAACUUUGGAACUGCAUUUUAACUACCGAGCUAGAGUGUGUCAGAGGGGAGGUGGAAUUCCGCGUGUAGCAGUGAAAUGCGUAGAUAUGCGGAGGAACACCGAUGGCGAAGGCAGCCUCCUGGGAUAACACUGACGCUCAUGCACAGCUAAUGGAAGGACGAUUGGGAUUACCGAAUGCCCUGGUAGUCCACGCCUAAACGAUGUCAACUGGCUAUUUGGGGCCUUCGGGCCUUGGUAGCGCAGCUAACGCGUGAAGUUGACCGCCUGGGGAGUACGGUCGCAAGAUUAAAACUCAAAGGAAUUGACGGGGACCCGCACAAGCGGUGGAUGAUGUGGAUUAAUUCGAUGCAACGCGAAAAACCUUACCUACCCUUGACAUGUCUGGAAUCCCGAAGAGAUUCAGUGCUCGCAAGAGAACCGGAACACAGGUGCUGCAUGGCUGUCGUCAGCUCGUGUCGUGAGAUGUUGGGUUAAGUCCCGCAACGAGCGCAACCCUUGUCGUUAGUUGCUACGAAGGGCACUCUAAUGAGACUGCCGGUGACAAACCGGAGGAAGGUGGGAUGACGUCAAGUCCUCGCCGGCCCAUAUGGGUAGGGCCCCACACGUCAUACAAUGGUCGGGACCAGAAGGGUCGCCAACCCGCGAGGAGCCAAUCCAGAAACCCGAUCCGUGAUCCGGAUCGCAGUCUGUGAAUCGACUGCGUGAAGUCAGAAUCGCUAGUAAUAUCGCCGGAUCAGCAUGUGCGGUGGAAUACGUUCCCGGGUCUUGUACACACCGCCCGUCACAAGCAGAAUUAGGUUUUACAGAAUGAUUAGCCUGAUGCCGUAAGGAGGGCGAUUACCACAGUAGGAUUCGCGGCUGGGAUGAAGUCGUAACAAGGUAG